rnacentral:lncRNA from 1 species
CUGAUUUACAGUUAUGUUAGCAAGGUAACUUCUAUUGAAUUUGCAGCAGAAUAAAUAGGUGAGAUAGCAAAUGGUAGGGCUACUUAUUACUGUAUAUGUCCUCUUUGUAGUUGCUAGAAGCAUCAUAUCAAGGUGAUUGUAGAUCUGCACUGAAAAUGGUCAUACUAAAUUGAUUUUUUGGGAUAUCCAUUACAUCUUGUAAGCUUCUGCAAUAGGUAAUAAAUUCUACUUCGC